rnacentral:rRNA from 1 species
GAUCAUGGCUCAGGACGAACGCUGGCGGCGUGCCUAACACAUGCAAGUCGAACGGAACUGUUUUGAAAGAUUUCUUCGGAAUGAAUUUGAUUUAGUUUAGUGGCGGACGGGUGAGUAACGCGUGAGUAACCUGCCUUCAAGAGGGGGAUAACAUUCUGAAAAGAAUGCUAAUACCGCAUGACAUAUCGGAAUCACAUGAUUCUGAUAUCAAAGAUUUUAAUCGCUUGAAGAUGG